GUUAAGCGACUAAGCGUACACGGUGGAUGCCCUGGCAGUCAGAGGCGAUGAAGGACGUGCUAAUCUGCGAUAAGCGCCGGUAAGGUGAUAUGAACCGUUAUAACCGGCGAUUUCCGAAUGGGGAAACCCAGUGUGACUCGUCACACUAUCAUUAACUGAAUCCAUAGGUUAAUGAGGCGAACCGGGGGAACUGAAACAUCUAAGUACCCCGAGGAAAAGAAAUCAACCGAGAUUCCCCCAGUAGCGGCGAG
rnacentral:rRNA from 1 species